CUAAAACAUUAUCAACUUCUUAUAAUAGCAAAACAACGACCUUGACAAGAAAUUUUGUGAGUCUAAACGACAAGAAGAAAAACUAUUUUUGAAAGCUGAAAGGUUAGAGAAAAACACUAAAAUUAAUAAAUAAGCUCAACAUGUUGACCUUUUACGAGGUGAAAAUGACACAUUUCUCAAUAUGUUAACAAGAACUUCCAAAAAUGCUAUGUAUUAUAUCAGUGUUUAGAAAAAAAGAUUCAAAAUAAAAAUUAAGCCACAAAUUAGGUUAGUGUAGAUUCUAAGUACUCAUUCAUUUCUCUCACUACAAAAAUUAUUAAUUUUAGGAGGGAUUCUUUUUUGGAGGUUUUGAAAACCCCGAAUACAUUCUAGCGAUUUAUGCUUAAAAUCGCAUGUACCUUCUUUUUUUAAAAAAAAAUCUGGCUUCCACUAACAUAAAUCGUCCCUAAUAUAUAUUUUUAUUUUUGAAUAACUUUUUUGGCGAUCCUUAAUAUCAGAAAAGCUUUUCCCACACCUUCAUUUCUAAUUCUCGAGCCCUAAUCCCCUUCCUGCUAAGCACUUUCAUUUCUUUCGCCUUCAUCACAAUCUUUCCCAAUCAUUCCUGCUUCGUGUUCGUUGUUUUGUGUCUUCCCCUGCUUGGGCUGAGCGUUGUCGUCGAGGUGGCGAGAUCGAGGCGGUGAGGUCGAGGCAACGAGGUCGAGGCGGCGAGGACUAUGUAAGGUAUGUUCAUCUUAUCUCUUCAAUCUGAUUAUUCUCUUUGCGUUCUUUUUCUCUUGCCUGAGUCUCCAUUCCUAAUACUUUCUAGUUCCUCUCAUUCCUCUUUUACUCUAACCUAAUCUUCAUUAUCACUAAAAUUCUAAUACAAUGUUCAUUUUUCAAUUGUGGUGACUUCACUGUAUUUUCAUUUUUCACUCUAACCUAAUCUUUAU
rnacentral:lncRNA from 1 species